CCCACCCUCAGACAGAUUCUCUCCUCGGAGAGGCGCGGGGGCCCGUUCUUGAGAAGCGGAACGUGGGGAGGUUGCCGGUGUUGCAGCGUUGAGCGAGAGCACCCGGCGCCGGAGGAGGCGCAGGAGAAGGUGAAGGAACUGGUUCUGUACAACCUGUGCACGGUGCGGCGGAUGAGCCCUGCCGAAUAGGCCCGCCAGCGCGCCCACAAGUACAAGUAGCAGAGCGUAAUCAGCAUGACGCGCGCCGCGGGCGACACGCCGGGGGAAGGAGGUUAUUCAACGGCCACCUCGCCAGCCCCCAUCCCAGCUCAGCAAUUGCAGAAGGGUGCGAAAAGUGGCGGUGGAGCCGCUGCCGCCGCUUCCGGAUUGGCUGUCCCGGUCCUCCUCGCGCUCAGAGAAAGGGACCGUUGAUUGGUCGAGCGUCUCUCCCUCCCAUCCCCGGCUCUUGGUUCUGGACAGGAGCAGGCGCAAACGAGACGGAAGCGCCACGGGUUUGCGAGCGAGCGCCUGUAGUUUCUUGCCUGCCUCCUACUGCUGUGCCCGAGUUCAGACCGAGAUAAGAGCCCCCAAGAUUAGCUUUGGAGGGAAAGAUGGUUUUUUGAAAAGAAUGUUUCUGAGCAAAAAGCUUUCCAAUUAUCAUUCCGUAUUUCUUAUUCCUGUAUCUGCAUCUAGAGCUACUCUCUGCUCAGCAGUUGCUUUCUUUUCCUCUCUGUGGCGCGCACGCAUCCAUGUUAUCCGCGAUGGCGUCUCGGAUCACAGCAAUAGCCCGACCGUGCAAAGGUAGGCGUACGUUAGUGGCUUCUAAGCGUGCCUACCUGCAUCGGAUCGGGCUGUAAAGCAGACAAUCCAUGGUUGCACAUACUUGUUCUGACGCCAGCAGAUGCGACCAGGGUUUUAUAGUAAAAAGGGGUCGAGUGUGACCAGCGUCGUGUGCCCCCGUUUUCAGAAGAGAGAGAUGGAAAGAGACACUGGAACCUGUAAGGUGGAAAUUUUCCAGAACGGAAUCCUGAUGUAUAAAAUCAACAGACACAGUUCCCUGUUGUGGGAUACUGUUCCUUGCCCUGUGACGAUGAACUGAACUUCUUGAAAGGUUACAACUUUAAAAAUUAUGCUCCCAGUGGGCAAUAUAUGGCUGAGGAUGAAUGGCACUUCACUUGUGGGUAGGAUCUCUGAAAGAUGCACUGAGACCCAGGAGGCCUGUAGCAUCCAAUUUUCUUCACUCUAUAGAUCAACUCUAAGAUGGACAAAGUAAGAAAGGUACAUGUUUUCAUGCUGCCACUUGAAAAUGGUAGUGUGAGGGCAGGAGAAGGCCUGGUCAACAUACAGUGCUCACCCACCCCAUCACUCAUAAGUCAUGGCUUUAGUCAUUUGUCAGCCAGCUGGUGCGUUUGGCCUGGCCAGCAGGAUCAGAUCAGCAGGAAUCAUCUCCUUCCCUGCCAUUCCAAAAAGAGUUUCCCCCCUGAAGACACAUGACACGACUGACUGAAACAACACUGGGCCCAACAGCCUAGCAAAAUAUAUUCAUAAAGAUGUCUUGGAAAGACACUACGUUCAUAAAAAAUUUUUGUUCAGGAGUCAAUUUGUUUCUGGAUUGUCUAGAACUGGUACACAAAUACUGUGAAGUGUUUCCUAACUAUCUGUGUUUAUUUUUGCAAGGUCCUGUUUACAUGACACAGACACAUGUUCUGCCUGCAACUUUCCCUGGCCUCCCAUGUGAACAGAAGGAGCUGGGCUAUUCUUCUGUUAAUUACUACAGUAGAGCCCCGCUUAUAUGGUGGGUUCCGUUCCAGACCCCCGCCGUAAAGCGGAAAACGCCAUAAAGCGGAACCCCAUUGACUUUAAUGGGCCGCGUCACGCAAAAACAGCGCAAAACGUCGCAAAAGGGGGGAAAAACCCUUUAAAAUUGAAAAUGAAAGGCGCCGCAUUAGCGGAACGCCGUAAUGCAGGGCCCUACUGUAUACAUAAGAGAUGUACCAUGAAUGGUGCAAUAAUGAGAAAUCAAAACACUGCAUAAUUCAUUGAGAUUAGU